CCCUUAGAUGUCCGGGGCCGCACGCGCGCUACACUGAGUGGAUCAGCGGGUCAGGUUGCGCGAAAGCGUUUCCUAAUCUUUAAAUCCGCUCGUGAUGGGGAUUGACGGUUGCAAUUUUCUGUCAUGAACGAGGAAUACCUUGUAAGCGCGGGUCAUCAUCCCGCGCUGAAUACGUCCCUGCCCUUUGUACACACCGCCCGUCGCUCCUACCGAUUGAAUGGUCCGGUGAAAUCUUCGGAUUGAGACUUUGAUUUCUUCACGGAAAACGUUGUUUUAUAAAGUUGAUUAAACCUUACCAUUUAGAGGAAGGUGAAGUCGUAACA
rnacentral:rRNA from 1 species